GGGAAGUUGGCUCAGUGGUAGAGUGCUUGCCUUGUAUGCAUGAGGCCCUAGGUUUGAUUCCUCA
rnacentral:tRNA from 1 species